rnacentral:lncRNA from 1 species
AAAUCACAGAUAACUACUAGGAGGCCUCACUCUGAGUAAUAUCAAAGUUUUUUCCCACAAGAACCGCUCGGAGAUGCCCGGACUCAGUUUUUAUUUUCGUCCCAAUACUUUUCUUCCAAUGGACUAGUUGUGUUUCUUUGAUCUUGUGCAACCUCUUUAGGCCGAUGAUAGCCAGCGGAUAGGUGUGGAAACCCAUCUAUAUUGCACCCAGUACGACACAGAAAAAAAGCCCAGGGGCCUAGGGGUCGGGUGGGGCUCGUUCGGGUGCACAACGGUUGCGCCAAAAACGGUCCAAAAAUGGCCAAGGCUUUACCAUACGAAAAAUCGGUCCGAUUUUUAACCAUGUGAGAAACGUCCCGAAAAUUCACAGAUAACUACUAGGAGGCCUCACUCUGAGUAAUAUCAAAGUUUUUUCCCACAAGAACCGCUCGGAAUGCCCGGACUCAGUUUUAUUUUCGUCCCAAUACUUUUCUUCCAAUGACUAGUUUGUUUCUUUGAUCUUGUGCAACCUCUUUAGCCGAUGAUAGCCCGGAUAGGUGUGGAAACCCAUCUAUAUUGCACCCAGUACGACACAGAAAAAAAGCCCAGGGCCUAGGGUCGUGGGGCUCGUUCGGGUGCACAACGGUUGCGCCAAAAACGGUCCAAAAAUGGCCAAGGCUUUACCAUACGAAAAAUCGGCCGAUUUUUAACCAUGUGACAAACGUCCCGAAAUUCACAGAUAACUACUAGGAGGCCUCACUCUGAGUAAUAUCAAAGUUUUUUCCCACAAGAACCGCUCGGAGAUGCCCGGACUCAGUUUUUAUUUUCGUCCCAAUACUUUUCUUCCAAUGACUAGUUGUGUUUCUUUGAUCUUGUGCAACCUCUUUAGGCCGAUGAUAGCCCCGGAUAGUGUGGAAACCCAUCUAUAUUGCACCCAGUACGACACAGAAAAAAAGCCCAGGGCCUAGGGUCGGGUGGGGCUCGUUCGGGGUGCACAACGGUUGCGCCAAAAAACGUCCAAAAAUGGCCAAGCUUUACCAUACGAAAAAUCGGUCCGAUUUUUAACCAUGUGAGAAACGUCCCGAAAAUUCACAGAUAACUACUAGGAGGCCUCACUCUGAGUAAUAUCAAAGUUUUUCCCACAAGAACCGCUCGGAGAUGCCCGACUCAGUUUUUUAUUUUCGUCCCAAUACUUUCUUCCAAUGGACUAGUUGUGUUUCUUUGAUCUUGUGCAACCUCUUUAGGCCGAUGAUAGCCCGCGGAUAGUGUGAAACCCAUCUAUAUUGCACCCAGUACGACACAGAAAAAAAGCCCAGGCCUAGGGGUCGGGUGGGCUCGUUCGGGGUGCACAACGGUUGCGCCAAAAACGGUCCAAAAAUGGCCAAGGCUUUACCAUACGAAAAAUCGGCCGAUUUUUAACCAUGUGAGAAACGUCCCGAAAAUUCACAGAUAACUACUAGGAGGCCUCACUCUGAGUAAUAUCAAAGUUUUUUCCCACAAGAACCGCUCGGAGAUGCCCGACUCAGUUUUAUUUUCGUCCCAAUACUUUUCUUCCAAUGGACUAGUUGUGUUCUUUGAUCUUGUGCAACCUCUUUAGCCGAUGAUAGCCCGCGGAUAGGUGUGGAAACCCAUCUAUAUUGCACCCAGUACGACACAGAAAAAAAGCCCAGGGCCUAGGGUCGGGUGGGGCUCGUUCGGGUGCACAACGUUGCGCCAAAAACGGUCCAAAAAUGGCCAAGGCUUUACCAUACGAAAAAUCGGCCGAUUUUUAACCAUGUGAGAAACGUCCCGAAAAUUCACAGAUAACUACUAGGAGGCCUCACUCUGAGUAAUAUCAAAGUUUUUUCCCACAAGAACCGCUCGGAGAUGCCCGGACUCAGUUUUUAUUUUCGUCCCAAUACUUUUCUUCCAAUGGACUAGUUGUGUUCUUUGAUCUUGUGCAACCUCUUUAGGCCGAUGAUAGCCCGCGAUAGUGUGGAAACCCAUCUAUAUUGCACCCAGUACGACACAGAAAAAAAGCCCAGGGCCUAGGGGUCGGGUGGGCUCGUUCGGGGUGCACAACGGUUGCGCCAAAAACGGUCCAAAAAUGGCCAAGCUUUACCAUACGAAAAAUCGGCCGAUUUUUUAACCAUGUGAGAAACGUCCCGAAAAUUCACAGAUAACUACUAGAGGCCUCACUCUGAGUAAUAUCAAAGUUUUUUCCCACAAAACCGCUCGAGAUGCCCGACUCAGUUUUUAUUUUCGUCCCAAUACUUUUCUUCCAAUGGACUAGUUGUGUUUCUUUGAUCUUGUGCAACCUCUUUAGGCCGAUGAUAGCCCGCGGAUAGGUGUGGAAACCCAUCUAUAUUGCACCCAGUACGACACAAAAAAAAAGCCCAGGCCUAGGGGUCGGGUGGGGCUCGUUCGGGUGCACAACGGUUGCGCCACAACGGUCCAAAAAUGGCCAAGGCUUUACCAUACGAAAAAUCGGCCGAUUUUUAACCAUGUGAGAAACGUCCCGAAAAUUCACAGAUAACUACUAGGAGCCUCACUCUGAGUAAUAUCAAAGUUUUUUCCCACAAGAACCGCUC